ensembl:lncRNA
CCAAACUCCUGCCUUGUCCCCCGGCCGGGGUCCUUCUCCCCUAAUAAAUGACUUGCCUGGAGUCGCUGUUGUCCUGCUGCUGCUGCAGGGGACCCCACCUGAGACCAUAGUGACAGCCCAGUGGCAUCUGAUUUCCUGCAGAAGCCGAGUGCUCUGAGCAUGAAGAGCCUGGUCUCCAAGCUGUACCCCUCUGGCCUGGAGCCAGGCACCCUGAGGCUGGCCAGGGAGGCCAGUGGCCUGGCCCUGAGUGCUCAGGUCCUCCAGGAGAUGGCCAAGGGCACCAAGAGCAUCACCCUCAUCACAGCCACUCGACACUCCAAGGUGCACGACCAGGGGGGCAGCAGUGGCCGCUCUUCCCACCACCUCCUGGAGGAGACGACCCCGGACUCCAGGGACCUGAAGUCCAGCACCAGCCCAGACCCCAGCCUGGCAGACAGAAGGUGGCCCCAUGCUAGCCCAUGCAGGAACUGCUCCAUGGAGAGGAAGACCAGGAAGAAGUGGUCACCCUCCUUCCCUGGGAGCGUGCAGCCGGUGAGGGAGAAGCUGCCAUCUCCCUGUGUGGAGCAUUCAGUGGAGAGUUAGCUGCCCCCAGCACUCCUUCCACUGUCAAAGUCUUCAGGAAAGAGCUUUUUCCCUGCUGUCCCUGCAGCCUCCAAGAUAAAACCCAGCCUCAGUCUUCACGCAGGUACAGGAUCAUGAAAGAAAAUAGCACAUUACUUUUCUUCCUGUAUCUUAAGUCUCCCUCCCUCCUUUGGAAUGUACAUCUUGAGAGAGUGUGACAGUUUGGGCUGUUAUCAGUUGUCUGCUCCUUGCUGUGAGUGAGUUUCAGGUUUUCUUAGGGCAGCAAGUGAGCCAAGGCCAGUGGCGUUGGGAAAAGAAUUAUUGGCAAGGAGUUCAGUUUUGAUUCUGGCCUGUCCGGCAUCCCAACAGAAGUUAAAAUAACGAUGAACAUUGGGCAUACACAGUAGGCUGCCCUUCUGCCAGCUGUACCCUGGCCCCUGGACCUUGUUCAUAGGUUUGAGACCCAGCUUCUGGAGCUGCUGUUAUUUAAAAGAGAAUAUACGUUGGUUGUGAAAAUCUUGCAACAAGGCCAGUCGCAGUGGCUCACACCUGUAAUCCCAGCACUUUGGGAGGCCGAGGUGGGCGGAUCACAGGGUCAGGAGUUUGAGACCAGCCUGCCCAACAUGGUGAAAUCCCCCAUCUCUCCUAAAAAUAUAAAAAAGUAGCCAGGUGUGGUGGAAGGCACCUGUAAUCCCAGCUACUCAGGAGGCUGAGGCAGGAGAAUCGCUUGAACCCGGGAGGCAGAGGUUGCAGUGAGUCAAGGUUGUAGUGAGCCGAGAUUUUACCACUGUACUCCAGCCUGGGCAAAACAGCAAUACUGUCUCAAAAAAAAAAAAAAAAAAAAAGUCUUGCAACAUAGAUUAAAAUUAUAAACAAAAAGAAACUGGCCCAGCAUGGUAGCUCAUGCCUGUAAUCCCAGCACUUUGGGAGGCUGAGGCAGGCAGAUCAUGAGGUCAAGAGAUUGAUAUCAUCCUGGACAACAUGGUGAAACCCUGUCUCUACUAAAAAUACAAAAAUUAGCUGGGCGUGGUGGUACAUGCCUGUAGUUUCAGCUACUUGGGAGGCUGAGGCAGAAGAAUCACUUGAACCCGGGAGGCGGAGGUUGCAGUGAGCCGGAAUCGUGCCACUGCAGUCCAACCUGGGUGACAGAGCAAGACUGUCUCGCAAAAAAAAAAAAAAAAAAAAAAGAAAGAAAGAAAUCACUGUAGACCCCACCAUCCAGAAAUAGUCGUUGUGAGAUGACUUCCUCACUAUGGAGG